GGAAGCAGACGUCGGUUCCUGGCUUGGAGUGGAGGACAGCAGAGCCUGGGAGCAGGGUAAAGCCGUGUUUCUUGGAAAAACUGCAAAAGCUCUCUGGACGACGCGGCCCAGAGCUGAUGGCAGACAAUGUCAGCCAC